GAGUUUGAUCCUGGCUCAGAACGAACGCUGGCGGCGUGCCUAACACAUGCAAGUCGAACGUGAUCCAGAGCUUGCUCUGGUGAAAGUGGCGCACGGGUGAGUAACGCGUGGAUAACCUACCCUGGUAUCCGGGAUAACAUUCCGAAAGGGGUGCUAAUACCGGAUAAGCCCACGGGCUCUUUGGAGCUUGCGGGAAAAGGUGGCCUCUAUUUAUAAGCUACUGUAUCAGGAUGGGUCCSCGUACCAUUAGCUAGUUGGCGGUGUAACGGACCACCAAGGCGACGAUGGUUAGCUGGUCUGAGAGGAUGAUCAGCCACACUGGAACUGAGACACGGUCCAGACUCCUGCGGGAGGCAGCAGUGGGGAAUUUUGCGCAAUGGGGGAAACCCUGACGCAGCAACGCCGCGUGAGUGAUGAAGGCCUUUGGGUCGUAAAGCUCUGUCAGAGGGGAAGAAAUGAUAUAGUGCUAAUACCACUUUAUCUUGACGGUACCCUCAAAGGAAGCACCGGCUAACUCCGUGCCAGCAGCCGCGGUAAUAC
rnacentral:rRNA from 1 species